rnacentral:rRNA from 1 species
AUUAAACGCUGGCGGCAUGCCUUACACAUGCAAGUCGAACGGCAGCACGGGGGCAACCCUGGUGGCGAGUGGCGAACGGGUGAGUAAAGCAUCGGAACGUGCCCUGGAGUGGGGGAUAACGUAGCGAAAGUUACGCUAAUACCGCAUAUUCUGUGAGCAGGAAAGCAGGGGAUCGCAAGACCUUGCGCUCUGGGAGCGGCCGAUGUCGGAUUAGCUAGUUGGUGGGGUAAAGGCCUACCAAGGCGACGAUCCGUAGCGGGUCUGAGAGGAUGAUCCGCCACACUGGGACUGAGACACGGCCCAGACUCCUACGGGAGGCAGCAGUGGGGAAUUUUGGACAAUGGGCGAAAGCCUGAUCCAGCCAUGCCGCGUGAGUGAAGAAGGCCUUCGGUUGUAAGACUCUUCGUGGGAGAAUAGCAUGGCGUAAUACCCUGUGUAGAUGACGGUACCUGGAGAAGAAGCACCGGCUAACUACGUGCCAGCAGCCGCGGUAA